UACGAAGGGUGCAAGCGUUAAUCGGAAUUAUUGGGCGUAAAGAGCGUGUAGGCGGUCCGGUAAGUCAGCUGUGAAAGUCAAGGGCUCAACCCUUGAAUGCCGGUUGAUACUGUCGGGCUAGAGUCCGGAAGAGGCGAGUGGAAUUCCCGGUGUAGCGGUGAAAUGCGCAGAUAUCGGGAGGAACACCCGUAGCGAAGGCGGCACUCUGGGCCGGAACUGACGCUGAGGAGCGAAAGCCAGGGGAGCGAACGGG
rnacentral:rRNA from 1 species